UCAGCUUACAUGUGCAGAUUGUUACUCUAAGGUUCCUGAGAAUGCCCCCUUGCCGGCUCGGGAAGCUGCAAACAAGGGAUGAUGGAAGGAGGCUCAGGGAACCCAGACGGAAACAAGGCAUUCAGAACCAUUCAGCAUGGCCUGGUGCAGAUGCAUACAGAAAGAACAGUCACAUGCAACGAAAGGCAGAGUCACAAACAACAUGCCGAGGGAUCAAAGAGGAAGAAUAACCGGUGUUCAGAAAGACUCCGUGGAGGAGAGGAUGUCCAUGCGUCAGCAGCUAAAGGAUGGACGAAUCUUCCCGCUGAACCCAGGACCACCAGCUCAGAGAUGGCACCACCCACAAUGGGCUGCCCCACCACCACCCCCAGUGAUCACCAUUUGGGAAAAUGCCCUAAAGCUGCAUAUCAUGGAAUCAUUUCCUUAGCUGAGGCUCCUUCCUCUCUGAUGACUCUAGCUUGUGUCAAGUUGACACCCAAAACCAACCAGUACAGAAGGGUUUCAAAAUUGAGAUAUAUUUCAAUGUUCAUUUUCAGUAGUCUUGCAUAGUCAACGGAAUAUUAAAUUGUGAUCAUAAGGUAAUUACUGAUUGGAAGAAGAA
ensembl:lincRNA Gm13667 predicted gene 13667